ACGGGUGAGUAACGCGUGGGUAACCUGCCUCAUACAGGGGGAUAACAGUUAGAAAUGACUGCUAAUACCGCAUAAGCGCACAGUGCCGCAUGGCACAGUGUGAAAAACUCCGGUGGUAUGAGAUGGACCCGCGUCUGAUUAGCUAGUUGGUGGGGUAACGGCCUACCAAGGCGACGAUCAGUAGCCGGCCUGAGAGGGUGAACGGCCACAUUGGGACUGAGACACGGCCCAAACUCCUACGGGAGGCAGCAUG
rnacentral:rRNA from 1 species